CAGGAGAGAGGAAAGUGACAAUGAACAUUAAAGCUGAACUCCUGCAUUCUCUCUCAAUGGAGCAUGAAAUAAGGCAUGUCAUCAUGUCAGCGUAUGCUAGGAAGGAUUUGCUUAGACCCCGGUCCUUUUAGUAUGAUGCAGCUAUGACAUUCAGUCUUCAACUCACUUUGUGCUGAUGGUGUCCAACUCAAGCCCACACAUGAUACUUUUCCUUAUUCUCCCAGAAGUCUCUACACUGCUGAAGUAUGGGGUUAAAAUAGAAGAUUGUUGACAGAUAGCAUACUGGAUGUAAAGGAGCACAUCUUGGGACAAAAAGAAGAGCUCUGAAGAAUAAUAUUUCUUGACAGAUAAAAAUUAUCUGAAAUGCAAGUUUCUGUGUCCAUAAAUAAUGUUUUAUUGAAACACAGUCAUGCCUCUUCAUGUCUAUAUUGUCUGUGGUUCCCUCUACACUACAACAUCAAGUCCAGCAGUUGCAAUGGAGAUAUCUGGCCUGCAAAGUUCAAAGUAUUUACUAUUUUGUCAUGUAAGAAAAAGUUCACUGAUUCCUUGCCUACAAUGCUCACCAGGAAAGCAUUGUUUAUAUUGAGUUGGGCAUAUAAAAUUAACACGUUUUUAUUUUGCACAUAGAUAACAAUUAUUGUCAAAGAAUCCUGAGGGAUAUAAAAUAUAGGACAGAAAUCUGGGCCUUGAAUUACACCUCAAAACUAGCAAUCAUUAACAAAUGAGAACAGCUAACAACUAAAAUAUGAGUAUUGAUUUUAUAUGCAAUAGCGUUUAAAAUAAAGGAUCAGAUCAAUGUUGAAAUAUACGAGGAAAAUUUCAUGCAGAGGAAAUGGUUGUGCUUUUAAGGCUGGGAUCUUUUGGUUAGAUGUAGGAAGG
ensembl:lncRNA novel transcript